UCUCUUCGGAGAAGAGCGGCGGACGGGUGAGUAACGCGUGGGUAACCUGCCCUGUACACACGGAUAACAUACCGAAAGGUAUGCUAAUACGGGAUAACAUAUUUUAGUCGCAUGGCUGAGAUAUCAAAGCUCCGGCGGUACAGGAUGGACCCGCGUCUGAUUAGCUAGUUGGUGAGGUAAUGGCUCACCAAGGCGACGAUCAGUAGCCGACCUGAGAGGGUGAUCGGCCACACUGGAACUGAGACACGGUCCAGACUCCUACGGGAGGCAGCAGUGGGGAAUAUUGCACAAUGGGCGAAAGCCUGAUGCAGCAACGCCGCGUGAGCGAUGAAGGCCUUCGGGUCGUAAAGCUCUGUCCUCAAGGAAGAUAAUGACGGUACUUGAGGAGGAAGCCCCGGCUAACUACGUGCCAGCAGCCGCGGUAAUACGUAGGGGGCUAGCGUUAUCCGGAAUUACUGGGCGUAAAGGGUGCGUAGGUGGUUUCUUAAGUCAGAAGUGAAAGGCUACGGCUCAACCGUAGUAAGCUUUUGAAACUGAGAAACUUGAGUGCAGGAGAGGAGAGUAGAAUUCCUAGUGUAGCGGUGAAAUGCGUAGAUAUUAGGAGGAAUACCAGUAGCGAAGGCGGCUCUCUGGACUGUAACUGACACUGA
rnacentral:rRNA from 1 species